rnacentral:rRNA from 1 species
AACUUCGGUUAUAAGAUCCCUCAAAGAUGAUGAGGUUAAUAGGUUCGGGGUGUAAGCUCAGUAAUGUGUGUAGCUGACGAAUACUAAUCGAUCGAAGACUUAAUCAAAAUU